rnacentral:rRNA from 1 species
ACGCUCGACACCUACAGGAGGCAGCAGUGGGGGAUAUUGCACAAUGGGGGAAACCCUGAUGCAGCGACGCCGCGUGGAGGAAGAAGGUUUUCGGAUUGUAAACUCCUGUCGUUAGGGACGAAUUCUGACGGUACCUAACAAGAAAGCACCGGCUAACUACGUGCCNAGCGCGAUNUGAGCGGCGUGNGAG